UGAAGAGAAUAGAAGUAAUAACAGAUAUUUCCCACCAUUUUCCUUCCUUCAUCUCUAGAAAUUUCUCCAUCACCAACUCUUCAUGGUAUUAGAGCUCUGAAUUUUACCCUGCAAUGGCGAGUAAUCCAGUGCUCAAAUAGAGAUUCAAGACCAGGAAAAUCAAACUAAUUCAUCAAUUGAUUCGCCUGCUGUGGAAGUGAUGACUGGAGAUACGGUUUCCAUUGUCAAUCGAUUGGUUACUGAUCCGAGCAUCCCAUAAUAUCUCCGUUAUGGAGACAACACAGGGAUGCAACUCAUCUCUCUCAUGCUUACUGAAGACAAUUACGCAAUGUAGAGUCGUGCUAUUGUUAUGGCACUUAGUGUGAAAAAUAAGGAGGGAUUCAUUGAUGGAACGAUAGUCAAACCUCCUUUGGAUGAUCCUCUUUAUGGUGCUUGGAGGUGAUGUAAUCAUGUGGUUUCUUCUUGGAUUAUAAAAUCCAUUCCGAAGGAGUUAUAGCCCAGUGUGAUGCACAAAGAUUCUGCAAGACAAAUCUGGGUCGAACUCAAGGAUCACUAUAGCCAAGGUAAUGGACCUCAAAUUUAUGAACUAAAGCAACAAAUUGCUUCAAUUACUUGAGGAAACAGCUCAGUCAACUCUAAUUUUAAUCGAUUCAAAGGACAACGAAAAGAGCUGGAAAAUUAUAGAUUAGAUCAUUUGAUGAUGUCAUGUGAAUCGCUAGAAAUAUGUGAAGUGUAUGGUGCAAGUUAUAAGUCAGAAGAUCAGAUUAUGCAGUUUCUUAUGGGUUUAAAUGACCACUUCUCCGGUAUGAGGAGCCAAAUAUGGUUGAUGGAUCCAUUACCUUCACUCAACAAAGUGUUUGCUUUAAUCUUGCAAGAUGAAAGGCAAAAAGAAAUUGUUGCUAAGAAACAGCAAAAAUUUGAUGUAGUAGCCUGUUCUGGUAAACUAAUUCCCAAUUCCAUUGGAAAUCAAAGAUCCAGUGCACAUUCUCAGUCACAAAAAGUGGUAAGGCCAAUAUGUAGUCAAUGUGGUAUGCUUGGUCAUCUCAAAGGAAAAAGUUACAAACUUCUUGGUUAUCCUCCUGGUUACAGACUUGAUAAAAGAAAAGCUCUAGUUGCAAGUGCUGUCAAUCAAGUAUCUCGAGUUGAUAAUUCAGAAGUGAUGAAUUCUCUCUCGAAACUCACCAUUACACCAGAUCAAUGUGAGAAAAUUCUAGGUGUGUUGGCACCGUAGCUGCAGGGACAGAUCUCUGCAUGUAGCCAACAACCUCAGGAUGUGAUGUCCUCCUCCUCUUCAAUGCCUAAUGCAUUUGCUUUUUCAGGUAAUGGUACAUGUCCCAGUGCUCCUACACUUGCAGAUAAAUGGAUUAUAGACACAGGAGCCUCCAAAAAUAUGGUUUGUUCCCUUAAACACUUGACUACUGUGACUAACCCAAUUGAUGGAUCAGUAAAACUUCCUGAUGGUAGUAUAGCUGCUGUUACACACAAUGGGACAAUAAAGUUAUCUACUAAUCUGGUUUUAACAAAUGUCUUAUUCGUGCCAUGUUUCAAGUUUAACUUGAUAUCUGUUAGCAAAUUGAUCAGUGAGCACAACUGUGUCUUGAAAUUUGCUCACAAUUAUUGCUUUGUUCAGGAUCUUUUGACAUAGAUGACGAUUGGGGUGGGCAAGUUUGAAGAUGGACUAUAUCUUCUUCAGCAACCCGAGUGUCAAUGCAAUGAAGAAUCGUCCCAAAACUCUCACCAAUUCCCACAUAAUAACUCUGUUUCAUCUUUGAUAUGUAAUAAAGAGAAUCC
rnacentral:lncRNA from 1 species